AACAAGGCGUACCUGCGGACCUGCGGAAGGAUCAUUAUCCAUCCAAAACCAGCUGCGGUCGCGGCCCCACGCUUACCCGUGGCGGUACGCGCCGCACGUCUGCACCCUUUUUUUACGAGUACCUUCGUUCUCCCUCGGCAGGGCAACCUGCCGUUGGAACCAUACAAAACCUUUUUUUGCAUCUAGCAUUACCUGUUCUGAUACAAACAAUCGUUACAACUUUUAACAAUGGAUCUCAGA
rnacentral:misc_RNA from 1 species